rnacentral:lncRNA from 1 species
AUGGAGUUUGGGCUGAGCUGGGUUUUCCUUGUUGCUAUUUUAAAGGUGUCCAGUGUGAGGUGCAGCUGGUGGAGUCUGGGGGAGGCUUGGUACAGCCUGGGGGGUCCCUGAGACUCUCCUGUGCAGCCUCUGGAUUCACCUUUAGCAGCUAUGCCAUGAGCUGGGUCCGCCAGGCUCCAGGGAAGGGGCUGGAGUGGGUCUCAGCUAUUAGUGGUAGUGGUGGUAGCACAUACUACGCAGACUCCGUGAAGGGCCGGUUCACCAUCUCCAGAGACAAUUCCAAGAACACGCUGUAUCUGCAAAUGAACAGCCUGAGAGCCGAGGACACGGCCGUAUAUUACUGUGCGAAAGAACUUUGACUACUGGGGCCAGGGAACCCUGGUCACCGUCUCCUCA